UGUUUCAACGGUUUUUCUACAGAUUCAAUACUGCGAACCAAUCGAAUAUCUUCCAGUAAUUCAACAACAAUUCUAUUGGUUGAAUGCUCAACGAGAAUUUCGCGAAAUCGACGAUGGUUUUUUGUUUUGUUACCGGUUCCGUUCGAACUUCGAACGUUUUCUUGAAGGAUAGGUUAUGUUCGUUUAUUUUACUUUUUUGAUUCGCUCGAUUCGUCGUUUAAAAAAUCAAUCUACGACCCCGCGAAUACAUUAAUGUGGCAAUUGUACAGUGAAUAAAUCUAGUCGAGGGAAAGGUGGCAGGCGCAAUUGUAAAAAGAAAUGGCAAUAUCGAUGUAACCAGACACGUGAUGCGGGAAGUUUAAAUAUAUUACAUUAUUGCGUGCGUCCUUCGUGAGAUAAGAUCUGUAUAAGGUCGUAAGCCUCGCGGCAUCAGGGUGGCAGAACAAAACAAGAGACAAGAAUUAUUUCCAAAUAUGGCAAAUCAUUCGAUAUCUUCGUCUUCGGCUUCUUUUUACGAACCACCUUUUGAAUACAUCGAUGGGAGAAACGUUCAGUAUUAUCAAAACAUUCGAACGAAUCUUCAAGAAAUCCAACGACUGACAAACCAGACAAAUGCUAAUUUGACAGCGACUCGAAAAAAAAUGCAUCAAACUGUCAAACUCAUUGGUCUCAUUUCACAAAAACCAACAUCUGAGGAAAAUUGAUGUACAUGUAAAAAUAUCGACAUACAUAAAUAAAUUUUUUUAAAAGCGUUGAUAAAAAAAA